rfam:Danio rerio chromosome 20, GRCz11 reference primary assembly.
AGCCGCAGCCAUAUCACCCUGCAGCCCAAGAGCGGUUACUCACUGAAGCUAAGCAGGGCUGAGCCUGGUCAGUACCUGGAUGGGAGACCACUAGGGAACACUAGGUUGCUGUGAGAA